GAGUGGCGCACGGGUGCGUAACACUGAUAGCAAUCUACUCUAAACUGGGGAUAGCUCACCGAAAGGUGAAUUAAUACCGAUAAUAUUGUGAAGUAGCAUUAUUUACACUUAAACCUACGGGGGUUAGAGAUGAGUCCGCGUCCCAUCAGCUAGUUGGCGGGGUAAUGGCCCACCAAGGCAGAGACGGGUAGCUGGUCUGAGAGGAUGACCAGCACACUGGGACUGAGACACGGCCAGACUCCUACGGGAGGCAGCAGUGGGGAAUAUUGGGCAAUGGGCGCAAGCCUGACCCAGCCAUGCCGCGUGAGUGAUGAAGGUCUUCGGAUCGUAAAGCUCUGUGGGAAGGGACGAAAAACCGGGGGUUAAUACCCCCCGGUUGACGGUACCUUCUUAGCAAGCACCGGGUUAACUCCGUGCCAGCAGCCCGGCGGUAAUACGGAGGGGGUGCCAAAACGUUGGCUCGGGAAUUCAUUGGGGGCGUAAAAGCGCCACGGUAAGGCCGGGUCGAUGUCCGGGAUUGUUGGAAAGGCCUUGGGGCUUAACCCAAGGGAAGUUGCUUCCCGAAAUUGGGGAAGCUUGGAAAUUAACGGGAACAAGGGG
rnacentral:rRNA from 1 species